AGUAAACAAAUGAUAACGCGUCUGUGUCUGCUAUAAAAACCAUGCUCCCAUGUUCCUCCUCAAGAGAUUUCCUGAGUUUCCCUUUGGUUCACACCUUCAACAUGCUGACGCUAAAGCUAAGCGGGAUCCUUUUGCUGCUGAUCCUGUGCCAACAUGGUAUAGAUGCAUCCGUGAUCUGUGAACAUAGAUUUGGGA